rnacentral:misc_RNA from 1 species
GAUGAAGAACGUAGCGAAAUGCGAUAAGUAGUGUGAAUUGCAGAAUUCAGUGAAUCAUCGAAUCUUUGAACGCACAUUGCGCCCAUUAGCAUUCUAGUGGGCAUGCCUGUUCGAGCGUCAUUUCAACCCUUAAGCCCUGUUGCUUAGCGUUGGGAGCCUACAGUACUGUAGCUCCCCAAAGUUAGUGGCGGAGUCGGUUUCACACUCUAGACGUAGUAAUUUUUUCUCGUCUGUAGUUGAGCCGGUCCCCUGCCGUAAAACACCCAAUUUAUCAAGGUUGACCUCGGAUCAGGUAGGAAUACCCGCUGAACUUAAGCAUAUCAAUAAGCGGAGGA